rnacentral:rRNA from 1 species
AUUGACCGCUGGCGGCAGGCCUAACACAUGCAAGUCGAACGAGUGGCGGACGGGUGAGUAAUGUCUGGGAAACUGCCUGAUGGCAGGCGUUACCUCCUGGAAACGGUCGCUAAUCCCGCCUACCGUCAGUUCUGCCCAGAGGGGAUUAGCUAGUUGGUGGGGUAACGGCUCACCAAGGCCACGAUCCCUAGCUGGUCUGAGAGGAUGACCAGCCACACUGGAACUGAGACACGGUCCAGACGCCUACGUGAGGCAGCAGUGGGGAAGAUUGCACAAUGGGCGCAAGCCUGAGGCAGCCAUGCCGCGUGUAUGAAGAAGGCCUUCGGGUGGUAAAGGACUGGCAGCGGGGAGGCGUUACCCGCAGAGGAAGCACCGGCGAAAUUCGUGCCAGCAGCCGCGGUAAUUC